rnacentral:rRNA from 1 species
AUUGAACGCUGGCGGCAUGCCUUACACAUGCAAGUCGAACGGCAGCACGGGAGCAAUCCUGGUGGCGAGUGGCGAACGGGUGAGUAAUAUAUCGGAACGUGCCCAGUCGUGGGGAUAACGUAGCGAAAGCUACGCUAAUACCGCAUACGAUCUAUGGAUGAAAGCGGGGGAUCGCAAGACCUCGCGCGAUUGGAGCGGCCGAUAUCAGAUUAGGUAGUUGGUGAGGUAAAGGCUCACCAAGCCGACGAUCUGUAGCUGGUCUGAGAGGACGACCAGCCACACUGGGACUGAGACACGGCCCAGACUCCUACGGGAGGCAGCAGUGGGGGAAUUUUUGGACAAUGGGCGCAAGCCUGAUCCAGCAAUGCCGCGUGCAGGAUGAAGGCCUCGGUUGUAACUAGCUUUGUACGGUAACGAAACGGUAGAGCUCUAAUACAGUUUGUCUAAUGACGGUACCGUAAC